AAGACUAUUGUAAGAAUGGGGAGGAAAACGAAUAGAAACUAGAAAAACAAAAUCAAACAUAUUCUUCAAUUUAAUUUCUGCUCUACCCUUUCCUCACAGUCUUCUUCAAUCUAAGCCUCUAUUACUCACAUAAUUACCCUGCCUACUGGAGGAUUUAAUAUACUCUCAUCCAUGCAGAUGCAUUCUGUAUCUUUUAAAAAAUUACAAUUUUGAUUUUUUUUUAACUUCAGGUUUUUUUUUACAAGGUACUGCUAGACCAUCAUUGUUUGUUAGCUACAGAUGUAAUAGCAUUGAAUGGAUUUAAUGCCCUUUUUAAACUUCUCUGGGCGAGGAAGCCUGACAGCCCUGUGGAAAUCGAGGCGGACUGAAAACCAGAUCCUGUCAUUCUACUUCAAGGUGCCGAGCAGGGAGAAAGUGCAUGAUUUAAUCUGAAUUGAUGCUGUUAACCAUCACCUUAUUCUGAGUCGAGGCUCAGACAGGAAGGAGGAUUCGGAAUGAAUCUUAUCCCAAGGGAUGUAUUUCUGGAUGGCACAUAGGACUCUGUCCUACUUGGAAUUCACUUACAACCUACUUGUGUUGCAGGAACCUGGGGAAGGCUUUACCCACAGGUCCAGGAGACCGUUUCCUCCCUGCCUUUCAGGAGCACAGUGAGUGAUGCACACACGUGUCGUUCUUCUUUUAACUUAAAGAAUAACUGCUCUUAAUUUUUCAGUUCUGAUUUCAUGUCAGCUGCCCAAGUGUACUACUGCUUUGGCUAGAACGUUCAGUAUUUAUUGCAUGAGUGCUUACUACUGUGUUCUUUUAGAUGAACAUACUUUAUUCAUGAAAAAAGGGAAAGCAGUAUCUAUGGGCAAGAAGAUUAUAUUUUUUCACUGUAUGUGCACUUAUGCCUUCUAAAUUUAUAUUUAUUACCUAUGGAAAUUAGUUUUGGGGAAAAAUACAAUAUAUUACAAAAAGAGAAAAGGGAAAAGUGAUCUAGACUCUCACUACCUGAGCAUCGCAUACUUUGCUGGGACGGUGUUGAAAAUUUCGUAGCUCUUUCUGAGCAGAUGGCACACGCCGCCUCAGCUGCCUUCACCAGGAGGGCUCUGGCUUUCUGCUGGCCACGCCUAAAAUACCCAUUCCUCCCCGAGCAGGCAGUGCUUACCUCCACUUCAGACCCCAGGACGAGAGCGGGCUAUCUCCUGUGCAGCUUACCUAUCAU